CCCACCUCCCUCUGGAUGUCUAUGAUGAAGCGCUUUACUCUCUUCUCUAGCUCAGAGGCUGAGAAUGGUGUGGAUGAGAAAAAGAAGAUCUGCAGGUCUCCAACAGCCCAGUCACCUUCCCCAUCCAUGGAGGCUGAGUCCCCAGACCAGAAGAGAAGCGUUUGCCUGCGAUCAAAGUCCAGUUUUGAUGGCACCUCUGUAGCAGGUGACAAGAACAACUGUAAAACAGAAAGCAAAAAUGACUCUAAGACUGAAAGGAAAAAGUCUUCAUCUUCCAGCCAGUAUAAAGCAAACAUGCACUUUCACAAGUUGUUUCUCGAUGUCCCAACUGAGGAGCCGCUGAGGCAAAGCUUUACCUGUGCUCUACAGAAAGAAAUCCUGUACCAAGGAAAGCUCUUUGUGUCAGAAAACUGGAUUUGUUUUCACUCCAAGGUCUUUGGGAAAGACACUAAGAUCUCUAUUCCGGCUUUUUCAGUAACCCUAAUAAAGAAAACCAAAACUGCUCUCUUGGUGCCAAAUGCCCUGAUUAUAGCGACGGUCACUGACAGGUACAUAUUUGUCUCUUUGCUGUCCAGAGAUUCGACUUACAAACUACUCAGAUCUGUAUGUGGACACUUAGAAAAUACAAGUGUUGGUAACAGUCCCAACCCAUCUUCUCCUGAAAAUUGUUUCGGGGCAGAUCGCCCCUCAUCUCUGCCACUGGAUUUCAAUGAUGAAUUUUCAGAUCUGGAUGGAGUCGUUGGACAGAGAAGGCAAGACAUGGAAGGAUACAGCAGCUCUGGCUCCCAGACCCCUGAAUCUGAGAACUCCCGAGAUUUCCACGUGACAGAAUCCCAGACUGUUCUGAAUGUCCCCAAGGCAGAAGUAAAGCCUGCUCGGGCUGAUGUCCAUGUGAACAGACUAUCUGACGGGAAAGCCAGGACUCUCCCUGCACAUGGUCAGUCAGAAACCACUGGAAUCUUGCACAGGGUCAAGUCCCAGAAGUAUCUGACUCUCCACCACGUCCUCGUGUUCUACGCAGUUGUGGUCUGUGCGCUAAUCAUUUCGACCUUCUACAUGAGAUACAGAAUCAACACUCUGGAGGAGCGCCUGGGCUCACUGACGUCCAUCGCGGAGACCCAGCAUGCUGAUGUUGGCUUAUACAGGACCGUAGGACAAGGGCAGAUACAUUUAUAUGACAGACAGCACCAUCUGGCCUGAGACCACAAAUACAAUUAAACGUGGAGGUCCUCUGCCAGGAGCUCUCAGAGAACAUAGUAAAGUUAGAAAAGAUACAAAACAACUUACAGAAGCUCCUGGACAAUGGUGACUGACGACCAGGUUGCUGGGCCCAACUAAUACCUCACAUCUCUUGGAUGAAGGUGCUCGCAAGGCCUUCCCAGUAAGCGUUCCCUGCUGGUCAGAGGCGCCGUGGAUGGAACCCAGACAUGGUUGCACUCGGAGGUCUCCAGCUCAGGAAAAGGGGAAGGGGAAUCACUUUGCUUCCUGUGCAAUAAAAGCUGACCUUGUCUCUCUGAGGAAGUUUUUGCUGCUACUGCCUAAAGAAAACAGACCCAUCUCUGGAGGUCUCAGAGCAGGCCCGGCAAACACUCUGAAAUGAUCAUGGUCCAGCAGUUUCUGUGAUCACUUGUUAGUAAACACUGCACUCCAGGCAUACUCAAGCCUUCCUACCCUCGUUUUCACUUACUUACAUCCUUCUGCAGAUCACUGAAAGUGUACCAGUGGCCUCCACGUGGUCCUUUAAGGAAUUAGCCAUGAGUCUGAAAAGGCAAUGAAUGUCUCUUGAGUGGACAGGCUUGCCACGGGCUUGUGACAUUCUGCUCUUCCUUUCAACUGUUAUCUUCUGUUUUAGUCAUUUACCUACGUAUCAUAAAUUCUCUGUUGAGUUUUAGUAAAAAUGGCAAGCAAAGUGGAUUAAACUAUCCUGUUUUUGUUUUGUUUUGAUCUUGUGACUAACAUGUAAUUGGAGUGAUUCUUCUCACCCACCUCAGGUCAAGAAUCUGUGAGGAAGAAGACCGAAAUACUACAUUAAAACUUACUUUGAAACCAAAACUAAUCUUUAAACCAAAAGUUGUAAUAGUGAUGUAAUAAAGGAUGAAGAACACCAAAUUGUUAAGAUUGUAGGUGGACUAUGUUAGCCAUUUUGAAACAAGAUAUCGGUAUUGGAUGCUGAAAGGUAUUUCCGUGUGACAGGUGUAUGCCUUUCUCUUUUGCUAACUAAAAUAACUGGUGGUUUGAUAACUCUAUUUACUACAUGGUUUGGGUGGGUUUUAUUAAUAAUAUUUAGGGUACCGUAAGAUCUGUAAGUAUAAAGCAUAUUCCAUUUCUACUUGUAAUGCAUUUUAUAAUCAUUUCUAUGAAAUGUGUUUUGUUUAAUCAGAUAAGCUAAUAAAUGAAUUGGUUAUGUCAUUUGUACUUGUUAGCCUGCUGGACAACAGCUGUGCCUAGCACACUGCCAGCUUUUAAUAAAUACUCGGCGGUUAAAGCCCCCUGCGAACA